rnacentral:rRNA from 1 species
GAUGAACGCUGGCGGCGUGCCUAACACAUGCUUUUCGAACGGGGUUAAGCGAAAUUUUCGGAUGGAACUUAACUUAGUGGCGGACGGGUGAGUAACGCGUGGUUUACCUGCCUCACACAGGGGGAUAGCAGCUGGAAACGGCUGGUAAUACCGCAUAAGACCACGAUGCCGCAUGGCACCGGGGUAAAAGAUUUAUCGGUGUGAGAUGGAUCCGCGUCUGAUUAGCCAGUUGGCGGGGUAACGGCCCACCAAAGCGACGAUCAGUAGCCGGCCUGAGAGGGUGAACGGCCACAUUGGGACUGAGACACGGCCCAAACUCCUACGGGAGGCAGCAGUGGGGAAUAUUGCACAAUGGGCGCAAGCCUGAUGCAGCAACGCCGCGUGAGCGAUGAAGUAUUUCGGUAUGUAAAGCUCUAUCAGCAGGGAAGAAAAUGACGGUACCUGACUAAGAAGCACCGGCUAAAUACGUGCCAGCAGCCGCGGUAAUACGUAUGGUGCAAGCGUUAUCCGGAUUUACUGGGUGUAAAGGGAGCGUAGACGGCUGUGUAAGUCUGAUGUGAAAACCCGGGGCUCAACCCCGGGACUGCAUUGGAAACUAUGCAGCUAGAGUGUCGGAGAGGUAAGCGGAAUUCCUAGUGUAGCGGUGAAAUGCGUAGAUAUUAGGAGGAACCCCAGUGGCGAAGGCGGCUUACUGGACGAUAAAUUGACGUUGAGGCUCGAAAAGCGUGGGGAGCAAACAGGAUUUAGAUACCCUGGUAGUCCACGCCGUAAACGAUGACUACUAGGUGUCGGGUAGCAAAGCUAUUCGGUGCCGCAGCAAACGCAAUAAGUAGUCCACCUGGGGAGUACGUUCGCAAGAAUGAAACUCAAAGGAAUUGACGGGGGCCCGCACAAGCAGUGGAUUAUGUGGUUUAAUUCGACGCAACGCGAAGAACCUUACCAGGACUUGACAUCCAACUAACGAAGUAGAGAUACAUUAGGUGCCCUUCGGGGAAAGUUGAGACAGGUGGUGCAUGGUUGUCGUCAGCUCGUGUCGUGAGAUGUUGGGUUAAGUCCCGCAACGAGCGCAACCCCUAUUGUUAGUUGCUACGCAAGAGCACUCUAGCGAGACUGCCGUUGACAAAACGGAGGAAGGCGGGGACGACGUCAAAUCAUCAUGCCCCUUAUGUCCUGGGCUACACACGUAAUACAAUGGUGGUAAACAGAGGGAAGCAAUACUGCGAAGUGGAGCAAAUCCCUAAAAGCCAUCUCAGUUCGGAUUGCAGGCUGCAACUCGCCUGCAUGAAGCUGGAAUUACUAGUAAUCGCGGAUCAGCAUGCCGCGGUGAAUA